AUGGACCAAUCCAUCCCUUUUUCCCGUGCAUAUGCAUCAGACUCGGAUGACGAUGGUCCCGAUGAAGAAGUUGAUGAGGAGGGGUUCAUGCCGAAGGAGGCCGAAGCAUUCAAGAAGGUAUUCGGGCGGGAUCACAAGACACCAUUGUUCAAGGAUCUUAGUCUCGCGGAUGAAGCCGUUGUGGAUGGUGGCAAAUGCAUAUCUCUUGGAGCUAGGCCAAGUUCUCAC
rnacentral:rRNA from 1 species